GAGGCAUUCCUGGCCAUGGCAGGGGAUUGGAACUUGACCAUCUUAAGGUCCUUUCCCACCCAAACCAUUCUGUGAUUCUAUGAUAGAUACUCUUCAUUCAGUAUUUUAGUAACUUAUUAAGACUUAAACUUCAAACUGUUACUCAGAUGCAACAAUUUACUUUUUAGGGAGUCCACCUGGUAGUCCGGUCUGAAGCAGCAUCUUGGUGGUAUGUGAUUAGAGAAGAUGACAGAAGAAAUGCCGGAUGUCAUUUCAUGGGAAUCUGAAGGCUCUUCUGGAGCUGGUACUGGCUUGUGUUUUGGUACAAAUAGCAAAGAUGAUUCAAGCGGAAAAGCUUGGUGCUUUAGGAUACAGAGUAAAGUGGGUGUUGCUGUGUUGAAGGGAUGAGCUGCAGAAGGUAACCUGUGUGACAGUGUCUGCAUGUGGGAGGCCUGAGGAACCCUGAGUUGCCAUCAAAGUGAGUCUGAAGGUGAGUGCUUAGCAGAAUGGCUGGUGCUACAGAGAAACUUGAGGUCACUUCAAAGAGGGUUUGCAUGGCUGAGAAACCAGCAGCUCUUAACGCGGUGACCGCACAGUGAAAUCCUCUGCAGGAUGCCGUGGACACGUGUUGUGUGCUAUGGUCUAUUUAUGAGGAGAUAAACCCGAUGUAGUUGGGCCUUUUGGACUAGAAAAGGAUGUUUAUCCACUGCCCUCAGGGUUUUUGAGAUGUUGAUGUAGGAAGAGGCUGAUCAGUUUAAUGCUGAAACCAGCUGACUUCCACAGCAUGGAAAACUGAAGAACACGUUGAUCCAAUUGUGGCACAGGCUGUCUUGUAACUUCAUUGCUGCUUACGUGUCCAUGGAAGGACAGUGAAGCUGGUGAAGGGUCUGGAGCACAGGCUUAUGGGGAACAGCUGAGGGAAGUGUGGUUGUUCAGCCUGGAGAUAAGGAGGCUCAGGGGAGAUUUUAUUGCUCUCUACAACUACCUGAAAGGAGGAUGGAGACGUUUGGGUGCUGGUCUUUUCUCCCAAGUAUGAAGGGAUAGAAGGGAAGGAAAUAGCCUCAAGUUGUGCCAGGGGAGGUUUAGAUUUAGAUACUAGAAAAAAUUCCUUCCCCAAAAAGGUUGUCAGGCAUUGGAACAGGCUGCCCAGGGCAGUUCUGGAGCCACCAUCCCUGGUGAGGUAUUCAAAAGAUGUGUAGAUGUGUACAGGGGCAUGGUUUAGUGGUGGAUUUAGCAGUGCUGGGUUAAAGCUUGGACUCAAUGAGCUAAAAGUGCUAACAGAUGCUUUUCCUCUCUCAGGUCCUGGUGCUGUUGCUGCAAAGAACUGAAUGGCUCUUCUAAAAACAACCCUAUCCAGAGUGUUUCUUGCAGUAAUUUAUUAUUAAUCACUCAGCCUA